UGGGGAAUUUUGGACAAUGGGCGAAAGCCUGAUCCAGCAAUGCCGCGUGUGUGAAGAAGGCCUUCGGGUUGUAAAGCACUUUUGUCCGGAAAGAAAUCCUUGGCUCUAAUACAGUCGGGGGAUGACGGUACCGGAAGAAUAAGCACCGGCUAACUACGUGCCAGCAGCCGCGGUAAUACGUAGGGUGCAAGCGUUAAUCGGAAUUACUGGGCGUAAAGCGUGCGCAGGCGGUUUGCUAAAGACCGAUGUGAAAUCCCCGGGCUCAACCUGGGAACUGCAUUGGUGACUGGGCAGGCUAGAGUAUGGCAGAGGGGGGUAGAAUUCCACGUGUAGCAGUGAAAUGCGUAGAGAUGUGGAGGAAUACCGAUGGCGAAGGCAGCCCCCUGGGCCAAUACUGACGCUCAUGCACGAAAGCGUGGGGAGCAAACAGGAUUAGAUACCCUGGUAGU
rnacentral:rRNA from 1 species